GCGCGUAGGCGGUUUACACAGUCAGAUGUGAAAUUCCAGGGCUUAACCUUGGGGCUGCAUUUGAUACGUGUAGACUAGAGUGUGAGAGAGGGUUGUGGAAUUCCCAGUGUAGAGGUGAAAUUCGUAGAUAUUGGGAAGAACACCGGUGGCGAAGGCGGCAACCUGGCUCAUUACUGACGCU
rnacentral:rRNA from 1 species